rnacentral:rRNA from 1 species
GAUGAACGCUGACAGAAUGCUUAACACAUGCAAGUCAUUGGCGAAGCUGCGCUUGCGCAGUCUAGCCAAGGCGGACGGGUGAGUAACGCGUAAGGAACUUGCCCUGCAGACAGGGAUAACAGACGGAAACGACUGAUAACACCUGGUAUUGUCAGGCUGGCGCAUGCCGGCCUGAUGAAAGGAGACGCUGCAGGAGAGCCUUGCGUCCUAUUAGCUAGCUGGUGGGGUAACGGCCCACCAAGGCGAUGAUAGGUAGCCGGCCUGAGAGGGUGAACGGCCACAAGGGGACUGAGAUACGGCCCUUACUCCUACGGGAGGCAGCAGUGGGGAAUAUUGGACAAUGGGGGCAACCCUGAUCCAGCAAUUCUGUGUGCACGAAGAAGGUUUUCGGAUUGUAAAGUGCUUUCAGCAGGGAAGAAGAAAGUGACGGUACCUGCAGAAGAAGCGACGGCUAAAUACGUG